rnacentral:rRNA from 1 species
AUGGCCGCCGCCGACCGCAUCUCCGCCCUCCCAAACGACGUUCUCGUGCGCAUCCUGUCCUUCGCGCCGACGAACGAGGCGGCGGCCACCACCCUCCUUUCGCGUCGGUGGCGAUCGGUGUGGCGCCGGACGAGCGCCGUCAACCUCGACAGCAGGCCCUACGCAAAAGCAGAGCGAGACCUCUACUACGGUACUCCGACGCUUGAGGAUUUCUUCGAUGACGCCCACGACAUCCUCGCAGCGCUCCGCCAGCCGCGCAAAGGAUCCCGCCGCCGCCGCCAUGGCGCGGGCCUCAAGACGCUCAAGCUCUUCCUGGAGGAAGGAGCCUACUACAUCAGCAAGAGCUGGCGUACGGAGGGCCACGAGGCCGAACCGGGCCACAGGGUCGCCAAACUCCUCGCCGACCCUGCCGUGGCGCGGUUGGAAGAGCUCAGCAUCGGCUGCGGGCAGGGCCAUACAAGAGAGUACCGUUACUUCCCGCCGCUGGCGUCCCUGCCGUGCGCGGCCACGCUCCGGGUGCUGGAGCUCACGAACUGCAACCUAGAGCCGCCGUCGACGGUGCCAUCCUCUGGCCUGGCUUUCCCGUGCAUGACAGAUCUGACGUUGCGGAACUGCUUUUUCUUGGAGGGGUAUCUUCAGGACAUGGUCGACGCCGCGGCGGCGCUCACCAGCAUGACGCUGGUGAAUGUCAGGCAAAAGGCGGCGGAGACGCCGGGUUCUGACGAGAGAUUCUACGAGUGGGACUACUUCAGGCUGCCACUACGCCUCCGAUGCCCGACGGUCACCGCCUUGGUGCUCGUGACCUUUGUCGACAAGAAGGAGGUCAAGGCGUCCGCCGCUGGCGGCAGCGGCAUCGAGCUCGACAUGCCCAGCCUCCGCUUCUUCCGGUUCCAGGGAUACCCCGUCAAGCUCUCGCUCAUGUCGCCGGCGCUGGGGCUCACGCGAGUUGAUUUCGAUGUGGCUCACCGCCAUCAGGGUGGCUGCGAGAUCAUGAAUUACGAGCCGCUGUCCUGCAUGAUCACAAGCUUCUCGACCACGAGGGCCCUCAAGGUGCGCCUCAGUUUCAUCGAGGACAUCGUCGCCGACGAGGAUGGGGACGCCGGGGUCAUCCUGCCAAUGUUCCCAAACUUGAAGCUCCUGGAACUAGACGGAGAGUACCAGUACAUGAACAGCGACACGGCCGCGGCAACGGCGAGGCUGCUCCGCUCCUGCCCGGUGAUGUCCGAGCUCCGGCUCAGGUUGGCCAUGCGGUACAACUACUGGUACGAUCGCAAGCACAAGGACCCAGUUGGGGGGCCCUUCGGCGAGUCCAUGGACAGGUUUGAGAGGCUCGCGUGCAGGUCGUCGGCCGUGGACCUCGGCGGGGUGUCGGAGCUCCCGGACCCCCUGACCAACAACUGCGCGUUCCGCUGUCUGCAGACGAGCCUCCGGAAGGUGACGUUGCGGUUCAAGGCCAAGGAGGUGAACUGCUUCCCGGUGCAGCUCGCCAAGUUCCUCGCGGAGAACGCCAUGGUGCUCGAGGAAAUGCACGUCGAGGACGGCAACCAGUUCUGGACGGACCACCUGUGCCACAAGGUUGGGAUGUGGAGAGCCGAGUCAUUCCGGAGGAAGAACCUGCCGGACACGGCCGCCGGCUUUCGGGUGUAA